AGAUCUUUGGGUGAUGGAGAAUCUGGGUCAAAGUUUUCGAGCCCGGUCACUGAAUCUAAUAGCCAGGAUGCAUCACUCAUUGCUUUCAGUUCCUACCCUCAAUGCUCCGUUGCUCAUGCGACACUACUUCUCUGCCACUAGUUUCCUUGUCUCUAACUUUCCCAGCAACUAGGAAUUGGUGGAGCCGGUGACGCCAGACUACGAUGAGGAGAGAGUCGAACAAUGUUGACGGAUCAUGGCGGUUGAACUUCGGCGGUUGAACUUCAACGGUUUCCAGGUGUCCUCAGAGAGCACAAGGAGAAAAGACUUCCCCGUGGCCUCCAUGACUGCCUGGGGGUUUUAGACCUGUAAUGGCAAGGUCAUGGUGCAUGCUCUACUGUAUCUCGUUCUUGGUGUGUAUUCUUCACAUGGUUUUAUUUGUUAAAAAUUAUAGUGUUGCUGAGUUCGUAUAUCUUGACAAUUAUUAGCUUGAUGACUAUCUUUAUUUUUCUUUCAAAAGAUUAAUGUGAAUUCUUUUCUUGUGUUAGCUUUCAUUUCAUAUUUUAGAGUUUUUAUCACUUUUCAAUCUUUUCUUUUUGUAAGAUUACAUUUUCCCUUUGUAUAAAGUAAUUAGUGUUUUUAACAC